rnacentral:rRNA from 1 species
AUUGAACGCUGGCGGCAGGCCUAACACAUGCAAGUCGAACGGUAACAGGAAACAGCUUGCUGUUUCGCUGACGAGUGGCGGACGGGUGAGUAAUGUCUGGGAAACUGCCUGAUGGAGGGGGAUAACUACUGGAAACGGUAGCUAAUACCGCAUAACGUCGCAAGACCAAAGAGGGGGACCUUCGGGCCUCUUGCCAUCGGAUGUGCCCAGAUGGGAUUAGCUAGUAGGUGGGGUAACGGCUCACCUAGGCGACGAUCCCUAGCUGGUCUGAGAGGAUGACCAGCCACACUGGAACUGAGACACGGUCCAGACUCCUACGGGAGGCAGCAGUGGGGAAUAUUGCGCAAUGGGCGGAAGCCUGAUGCAGCCAUGCCGCGUGUAUGAAGAAGGCCUUCGGGUUGUAAAGUACUUUCAGCGGGGAGGAAGGGAAUAAAGUUAAUACCUUUACUCAUUGACGUUACCCGCAGAAGAAGCACCGGCUAACUCCGUG